rnacentral:misc_RNA from 1 species
GGAAGCAAACACGGAUUUAGAUAACCCCUGGUAGUUCCACCGCCGUACAUCGAAUGAGUACCUAAGUGUUCGGGAUUACUCGUUACUGGAAGUUAAACACAUUCAGUACUUCCGCCUUGAGUUAGUACGUACGCAAAGUAUGAAACUUAAAGGAAAUUGACGGGACUCCGCACAAGCGGUGGAUCAUGUUGUUUAAUUCGAAGAUACACGAAAAACCUUUACCAGGUCUUGACAUACUCUGCAAAGCUAUAGCAAUAUAGUGGAGGUUAUCAGGGAUACAGGUGGUGCAUGGUUGUCGUCAGCUCGUGUCGUGAGAUGUUAGGUUAAGUCCUAAAACGAGCGCAACCCUUGUCAUUAGUUGCCAGCAUGUCAUGAUGGGCACUUUAAUGAGACUGCCAAUGAAAAAUUGGAGGAAGGUGAGGAUCACGUCAAAUCAUCAUGCCCCUUAUGAUCUGGGCUACAAACGUGAUACAAUGGCUGUUACAAAGAGUAGCUGAAACGCAAGUUUAUAGCCAAUCUCAUAAAAGCAGUCUCAGUUCGGAUUGAAGUCUGCAACUCGACUUCAUGAAGUUGGAAUCGCUAGUAAUCGCGAAUCAGCAUGUCGCGGUGAAUACGUUCUCGGGGUUUGUACACACCGCCCGUCAAACCACGAAAGUUGGUAAUACUCAAAAACGGUAGCCUAACUUCUUCGGAAGAGGGAACCGUCUAAGGUAGGAUCGAUGAUUGGGGUUAAGUCGUAACAAGGUAUCCCUACCGGAAGGUGGGGAUGGAUCACCUCCUUUCUAAGGAAUAAUUUUUUAAAUAUUCAUCUUCAGUUUUGAAAGACUUAGUUCUUAUAAGUUUUUCUUUUUUAAGGAAAAGAAAAUGGGCCUAUAGCUCAGUUGGUUAGAGCACACGCCUGAUAAGCGUGAGGUCGAUGGUUCAAGUCCAUUUAGGCCCACCAACUGAAAAAAAGGUCUUUUUUCUAAUUCUUAAAAAAAAAGUUCUUUGAAAAGUAGAUAAACAAAGUAUUUUUUUAAAAAUCAAAGGAAUCAAGGGAC